rnacentral:rRNA from 1 species
AUACAGAGGGUGCGAGCGUUAAUCGGAAUUACUGGGCGUAAAGCGCGCGUAGGCGGCUUGGUCAGUCGGAUGUGAAAGCCCUGGGCUCAACCUGGGAAUUGCAUUCGAUACUGCCAAGCUAGAGUAUGGGAGAGGGAAGUGGAAUUUCCGGUGUAGCGGUGAAAUGCGUAGAUAUCGGAAAGAACACCAGUGGCGAAGGCGACUUCCUGGCCCAAUACUGACGCUGAGGUGCGAAAGCGUGGGGAGCGAACAGGAUUAGAAACCCGAGUAGUCC